UACGGAGGGUCCAAGCGUUAUCCGGAAUCAUUGGGUUUAAAGCGUGCGCAGGCGGUUCGUUAAGUCAGCUGUGAAAGCCCCGGGCUCAACCUGGGAACUGCGGUUGAAACUGGCGAACUAGAAUCUGGCAGAGGGGGGUGGAAUUCCACGUGUAGCAGUGAAAUGCGUAGAGAUGUGGAGGAACACCGAUGGCGAAGGCAGCCCCCUGGGCUGAGAUUGACGCUCAGGCACGAAAGCGUGGGGAGCAAACAGG
rnacentral:rRNA from 1 species